GCGCGCGCACAGAGCUGUGUGUUGUCUCUUGUUGCUGUGAACGGGAUAUUUUAGGAGGCUGGAGAGCAGCGAGCGUCUCACCCCGGAGGAGCUGGAGCUGGCUGCCUGUCUGUCUGCGCGUCCGUCUGUCUGCCUGCAGGGACCGAGGGGAGGCUCUGACUCAGGCCGGGCUGGAGCGUCGCUGAAUCGGGUGUGAGGAAGGUGGAUGUGGCGCCGUGGAGCGGAGGAGCGGAGGACAUCACCGGAGAGAGACAGAGAGGCUUUAAGUGGGAUUUACUGACCUGCUGCUGGACGGAAUUAUUUAAAGGAGUCUGAGGGCGAUGUGGAGGCUCAGAUCGGCUCAGACGCACUGAUUGAGCGCCGGCUGUGGAGCAUCAGCAGCAGCAGCCCCUUCCCUGUGAGAGAGACCAAACCAUUCAACAACGUCGAAAGUUGCUUACUUCAAGAGGAAAUAUGCGGAGGAGGAGGAUUUACACGGAGGCCUACAUGGAUAUUUUCAAAAACACCUGAUACUGCAGGAGGACCGGAGCUGCAUCCUGAAGCUGUCCCUGGAGAAGCUGAGGUUCCUGGAGGACCCCGAGGCCUACCUGCGGCGCUCCGUCCUCAUCAACAACCUGCUGAGGAAGAUCCACCAUGAGGAGGAGGAGCUGGAGGCUGAAGAGGAGGAAGAGGAAGAAGAAGAUGAAGUAGAAGAGGAGGAGGAAGAAGAAGAAUUAGAGGAGGAGGUGAUAGGAGAGAGGGGGCAGCAGAGGCUGUUGUACCCAGACAGGAAGAGGGUGAAGGUGCUGGUGAUGGACUGCUGCUCUCCGGCGUUUGGCCUGGAGGAGCUGCAGCAUUACCGGCUGGUGCCCUGUUACCCAUCAGCCGGGUGCCUGUACAGCCUGGGUACCUGCCCGGGCCUCGCCCCAAGCCACCAGGUCCUUCUGUACAACCUGGACGACAAUGGCUGACUGCCCACACCUCACUGCCUCUUUGCAAAGCUGGGAAAUGCAGUUCAUGUUACAGCCAGGCAUGUGGACAUGUACUGUUUGUUUAAAAUCACCAAGAUGAAAGCUGCUGGCGUUCUCCCACUAAAAACCUUUGAGGGACACGUGUCAUGGGGUCUGUUUUGUCCACUGCCAGGAUGUCACCUCCUCUUGUCUCCUCGCUAUGAGGCAGCAAUGGAUUUGAAAAGCUGAGAAACCCUCAUUCUGCUUCAGGAUCAGCAGGGUCUCUGAUGUUGAUGUCAGACUCUGUCGCAGCGUCACUGCCAUUUUACUAUACGUGCAAAUGUGAGAGACUUUGAAGCGGGCUGUUGGUGUUGUGUAAUUGAUUUUUAUUGUCAUUGUUGCUCAUGUGAAAACCGUGAGCGUAUUCAGGGAUUUACAGACUGCAGGCUACUUUUUUGAUGCACCUUGGCUUGCGUGGAGAAUAUGUGCUAAUAUGCUUCUGUUAUCUUUUUAUGCUACUGUGUGAUUUAUGAAAUAUUUUGUGUAACAUUCCCUGGACUGUGUGAAUCGUCAUGCUAUCUCAAGACACUACAUCCUCUGUGGUGCAUUUACUGCCCGUGGGAAGACUGUUUCUCUCUCUCUGUAUUUGAUGUCCUGUGUUUUGCAUCACUUUGCUGCCCUCUGCUGGUGAAAUAAUUCAUACUGAGGCCAUUUGUAGUGGCUGAUGUGUUCAAAUCUCACAAUGCAAGUAAUAAGAUGGUAACACUUUAAACCUUUUGUUAAGCAUUUAUAAGCAGCAUACAAAUGGUUUGUAACAGUAUAAUUCAGUUAUAAGCAGAUAUAAGUGUUUAUGAACUCCUCCUGUAGGUAAAUGAGUGACAACAUUGUAAAAUGCAGAUGUAAUACUAUAAAACAUGCCUUCACAGGAGAAGUUAUAAUUCCCAACAAGUACUGCACACUUAAAGUGUCCUUGUAUCUGCAUACAGCUACAUUAAAGUGUGUUAUAAACCAUUUAUUAAAUGUUUUAGUGCUUAUAAUGCUAAAUAGUGGGAUUUAAAGUAAAGUUUUACUGAAAAGGAUAAUAAUCUUUCUUUGUUGUUUCCCUAUUUCGCCAUAUGUUAACAAAAUAAGUCAUAAUUUGUUUUUUUGUGGUUUCAAAAAAGGAAAAUUGCAUCUCUCAUUCUCUCCAGCUCUCAGAGGUCACAACAUUUUAUUUUCUGCAACCAAAUAAUCCGUUUGUGAUUGAUUUCCACCCCUGUGGUGUUUUAAAGAUGGAUUUUGAAGAACAGAAUGUCUUUAAAUUGAUAUUAUACACCAUAUUUUCUAACCAUUAGUCCUGGUUGUGACAGCAGAGACUGAAUUUUUAAACUGUCAGAAGAUAUUUUAUUAUUUAACAGGGCACUACAUGCGUGCUGUAUGACAACGGUGAUUAAUGAUUCAUCCUUUUCAGUGUCUCUUUCUGUGUUUUGAGUGUUCAGUCCAGGAGUUUCUCUGGGUUUUAAAUUUGCAUCUUGAUAACAAUCACUACAAUGGAAAAAACAACAACAACAACAAACUGCAGGCAACUAUUAAAGAGAAGCUUGAUAUUUUAAAACAAGAAUUUAUAUUUUGAUGAAAAUGCAUAUUCCAUAUUUAAGAUAAACUAUUUUGGAAAAAGGGCCAGUGAACUUUUUUUCAGGUGAUUGAGUAUCAAAUAAAGUAUGUGAG